GGCAGCGCGUAAGUUCCAUAAACUUAAGGUUGUGAGUUCGAAUCUCACCCGCAUGCA
rnacentral:tRNA from 1 species